ensembl:rRNA 5S_rRNA 5S ribosomal RNA
UUCCAGCAGCAUACCACCCUGCAUCCCACUGCUGGCUUUCUUCUAAAGCUAAGCAGGGUUGGUCCCUGGAUGGGAGACCAGAUGCUACUGGAAGUGGUGUUGGAGG